GCCCAAGGAGCCGUCGUAGGAUACAGAGGAACACAGCAGGCUCAUUGACAUCCAUGAUUCAAAAAGGAACUGAUGCCAGUCACUACAACCGAACAUUAACUCGAUUCACCUACAAGGCUCCAAAACUCGACACCAGGCCUGAUCUUCAGUUGAAAAUUUUAUUAAAUUAACUAAAAUUAUCAUCCCUGAGCUUCUCCCAUCACCGCAGUGGAAGACUCUUGGCAGCAACUUGUUAGAACUCUGAGAAGUCUCAAGUGAGCAGCAUUGGAACACCAUCGCCAUCUAAUCUUCACUGCAGCCAAAUUCACGGACUCAUCAUAGAACAAGACCCCUGUAAGGAGCAGCGAUCACCAGAUGAUGGAAUAUUCAUUGAAGUACUUUACCUGUUGUUUUGAGUGAGUCACCGCCCGGUCUGCAAGGUGACGGCUCCUUGAAGGAUUUUUCUUUGUGGCUUGAAUUACACUUUUUCUCUCAGAAGUCAGCCCCGCUCUUUAUCGUGACUGUUGUGAAACUGUCCAGGGUUAUAUUCCAACCGAGUUUCUUUAAGGAGUCACGGCUUUACUGUUGAGCCAGCCUGCAUUGUCCAUUGGAUUCUAGCCUUUUUAACACCUCCCUCUCAUAUGUCGGGGUGAAACUUUAAAAGGCCGUUGCCUCCAAAAUCUCUGCUCACACAGUUAUGGACAAGGUGGACAAGAAAAAGCAUGAAAGUGGAUUGGGAUGUUGCAGAAGCGACGACAGAUGAGUUGACUGUCUUUCCUCCGUGAAUGAAGGGUAUAUAUGAAGGUGAAAUGUGGACAUUUUGGAUGAUUUAGCUUAUAUCUCCUGUUUUUUUAAUUAUGUGGUGCCAACAUAGAUUAGACAAGUCGUUUUCUGUCAAUGAGCCUCACACAUCUUGUACACAUCACCGGGAGCAUUUGGCACAUGUGGACCCCUGGCUCAUUUUUAUCGUCUGUAUUUUGAGUGUAUGUGAUUUGGUGGGUGUGUGCUUGUGUGUGCUUGUGUGUGCUUGUGUGUGCUUGUGUGCGUGUGUGUGCGUGUGUGCGCGUGUGCGCGUGUGUGCGCGUGUGCGUGUGCGUGUGUGUGCGUGUGUGCGUGUGUGUGUGUGUGUGAGAGAGAGAAAGAAAGAAAGAAAGAAAGAAUGUGCACAUGCAGAGAUACACUGUGAAAUAAGUAAUGUCUAAUGCAUUAUUCAUACUCUUGUAUAUUUUUGGGGACACGCCCAGACCAGAGCUCACCAUCUGGCAAAGAGCAUUUGUGAUUUUACAGAUGUUGGAUUUCAUUUGAAUCUUUGUAGAUGUGUUUUUUCCUUUUCUUUAUCUUUCCCUUGUUUUUUUCUUUAGUACAUAGAGAUAUUUAUUUUGGGGGAAAAUAUUAUUGAAACUGGGUAAAGAUCUAAAAAUAUGUCACAUACGGUAAGUUAAAUUCUGUAAUUAAGAAAUCAAUUUAUGUGUGAUUAAAUGUAGUUCAGAA